UACGUAGGGCCCGAGCGUUAUCCGGAUUUACUGGGCGUAAAGAGUCUCGUAGGCGGUUUUGUACGUUUAGAGUUAAAGCCCCCGUCUUAAGCGGGGAAUGGCUCUAAAUACGGCAAAACUAGAGUUUGGAAGGGGAUGUUGGAAUUCCUGGUGUAGGGGUGAAAUCCGUUGAUAUCAGGAAGAACACCAAGGGCGAAGGCAAACAUCUGGUCCAUAACUGACGCUGAUGAACGAAAGCUAGGGGAGCGAAAGGG
rnacentral:rRNA from 1 species